CCUAAUCGUGUGUUCCAAUCUUAACCUCUUUCUCUCUCUCGCCGUCGUGAAUCGCUCCGGGGUUUCCAGCUACCAGAAUGCUUCUGCAUCUUCGUGAGUCCUCCGUCUCCGUCUAUUCUCCAUUGGGAGUCCUCUCCUUCGAAUGCUCCUGCAUCUUCGUGAAUCAUCUCCGUCAAGCGCUUCGGCAACAUCGUGAAUCAUCGUUAUCGACUGUGUCACAUCCAUUCGUUCAUCUCAAUUCUAGGGUUGUUUCAGCGCGUUUUGUUACGCGGAUUAUAGUGUAAAUACUCAUUCUUCUCCCCUACUUCACUCCAUUUUAACCCUGGGUUCUUUGUUUCAGAGUUGAUAAAUAGUAGAUUCGAUGUUGAUGGUGAUGAGGUUAUCUAGACAAAACAGAGGACAGAAGGAAAAGAUGAUUGAAGACUUGAUCCUUACAUAAUCCAGUUAUGAGAUGACAAGAGUUUCAGCAAUGCAGGUUAUUUAUCAGGGAUUAGUUGUUGAUAGAUCGAUCACUUUCGUUAGUCAGGAGACUACGCUCUUCAGUUGUGAUGUAUGCUUGAUUUUUGAAGACUGUAAUAUCAGUUUUGAUAGGAACCAAGUUUGAUGAUUUCAUUCAGCUCCAUAUUGAUGCAAAUCUGGCCCUAGCACAAGGGGUUUGUUUGAAUUUCUUAUAAUUUAUUUAAUUUCGGUUCUUAUUUCUCAAGGCAUUCUCACUAACUAAAAUGGUAUUCGACUAAUUCAAAUGUUUUUGUAUGGUUUGAAGUUCAAUAAUUAGUUUUGGAAUACUUAUAUCUGCAAAAAAUGUGCACACAUUCGCAACAGUUCAUUUUAAUCAUCAGUAUGAAAGGUUUAAAUUCUGAAAGAUCACUUUGUGAGUGAAACCAUACAAAUUUUGAAAGGGCUAAGAGAGCGCUAUGAGAUUCACCACAAGCUCUGUUAUACCGAUGAUGCUUGUGUAGCUGCUGCAGAGCUCUCACAUCAAUAUAUCAGAUAUGGAAGUUAUUUCUAAUCAUAGGAAUCUAGAAAACAACAAACUACAAGGUCUACUUCAUGAUAGUGAAAUGGAUAACACAUCAUCCAAGAGUAGCUCAUCUUUGCAAAAGCAGUUAAUGGUGGGUUUACUACAUCCCAAGGCAUACAAGCCAUCAGGAUAUGUAAAAGUGAAGGGGGAUAUAACAUUCUAUAAUAGCUGCUGUUAAGAAUUUGUAAAUUCACUAUUUCUGACAGUAGUUUCAGUGCCUCUUCACACACCGACACAGAGGUUAAUUACUGAACAAUAUAGCGGAAAUAUUGAGUUACAACAACCGAGUCCCGUAUCAGUUCUUGACUCGCAGUUUUACAAAGACGACUCGUCGUGUUCACCAUCUCCAAUAAUGAAAAGAUGCGUUGAAUAUAAAGGUCAGUAUUUUUGUUUUGUUCUUACAUGCAUAAGUCGUAAUCAUUGCUUCCUCGACGUUAAGGUCAUUGCUUUAUUUACUAGUGAGAGAGUUAAUAUUAGGUGAGAGAGUUGAUAGUUAAGUUUUAGGACCAGAUUUGCUCAUCUUGUUUUAUCUUUUGUCAUUUAGUGAGAGCCCUUGUUUCAGUUGUUCACAUGUAAACUUGCGUUCGACGUUGACGAAAUCAUUCUCAUGGGUAACACUCCUGUCAAUGGCCUCCUGCAGCAUUGAGAAGAUUAUACGAUGCGGAAGGUAAAGAACAAAAUUAAAUACUCUCUGAAUCAAUUUUUGUUAUUUCUUAUUUACAAUGAAUGCUUUUUUUGUUGUUUCACUAGCAUUUUAGCAAUCAAUAUAAGCAAUUAACUAAAAGACAACAAUGAACUAAAAGACUCAUAAAUAAGCACUUUAAGCAAUUUGCAAGUGUAUUAGGUUGGAUGUUAACCAGUGUAGUUUAUGAACGGUUGGUACUCUUUUUUUCUCCUUUAAAUAAUAGUCUCAUGCUUAUUCUCUCCUGAAUGUUAUAUGCUUUGAAGUGUUGAAGUUGCAGCUAACUUUUAUGCUGAAUCAGGAUAUGUUAGUUAGUUGGUUGCAGAGUUUACGGGGAUAUUCGGCUCUGCUUGAUAUUCCAGUUAAUGCUUCCUUUAGCUAUUGCAGUAGUAGCGUUUUUGUAUCCCUCCAACUAUACUCACUCAGGAUAUUGGUUUUCAUCAAUAGGUAUGCCUCACACUUUUGUAACACUUAUUUACUUAUGAAUUUCGAAUAUUAUGUCUAAACUUAUGCUUUGAGUCCUAAUAUUUUUAGCACAGGAAUUUAUCUGCUAGCAAAAUUUGAAGCUGUUUCCUUCCCUUCGACAAUUCACUAACAGGAAAGGAAGAAGUAUGUAUUUCCUUCCCUUUUGUUUUUGAAGUUUGAAUUGACAAACUAACAGUUCGUGUUAUUUUCUUGUAUAUCAAACUAGAGUUCAAACCGUUAUGUCAAUAUUCUUCUAAGUUUGAAUUGCAAGGUAAUGUGACCUUUGAGGAAGAGUGGAACAAUUUAUCUAGUAAUCAUGAAAGAGUAACAAUCAAAAAAGUAUGUCCUGUUUGUCCCAAUUGCUGAAUUUUUGGGUAACAUUUCUACUGGUUUUUUUACCCUCAUUAUGAAUCUGAUAUGGGCGUGUGUUUACUUGGUUGGCCAUAUUUGGUACUGUUAUGAGGCUGUUGUGUUAUCUAUACUUGGUACUGUUAUGGGGCUGUUGUGUUAUCUAUAUUUGGUUCUACUUAGUAGAAUUUUUUGUAUCUUAGUGAGUUUUUGUGCUUGAGUCAUUUUCCUGCCAUAUGGUGGCUUGACAGAGUUGGGUUAGAUAUGAAAUGAAUGUUGGAUGAUUGUUGGAAAUGUGAGGAUCUACCGUUAUUACCGGCACUUUUCAUUUUAGUUUAAGACUUUUCUUUUCCUGGAGUUCCUUUUCUAAUUUCUAGUCUUUGGGAUGGAUUUUAAUAUAUUAUCAGCAAGGGAUUUGGUGUUGGUAGGGUGCCUAAGGCAGUGGGUGUCGAGAUAAUGUGGCAAUGAUGUUACGCAAUUAGUUUAUGCAGUAAUAGAUAAUUGUUAAUGACCUGCAUGCAGUCCAACACCACAUGGUACACCCCUCCCUGUAAUACUGCUAGGGGAGCAAAUACUAAUAUAGAUAAUUUUUUUUAUUUUAAAAAAAUAUUACCUGCGGAAUUACCUGCGCAUUUUUUCCUGCGGAUUUAGCUGCGGAAUUACCUGCGGAACU